AUUGAACGCUGGCGGCAGGCCUAACACAUGCAAGUCGAACGAGUGGCGGACGGGUGAGUAAUGUCUGGGAAACUGCCCGAUGGAGGGGGAUAACUACUGGAAACGGUAGCUAAUACCGCAUAACAUAGGUUGUUCCCAGAUGGGGUGAGCUAGUAGGUGGGGUAACGGCUCACCUAGGCGACGAUCCCUAGCUGGUCUGAGAGGAUGACCGGCAACACUGGAACUGAGACACGGCCCAGAUGCCUACGGGAGGCAGCAGUGGGGAAUAUUGCACAAUGGGCGAAAGCCUGAUGCAGCCAUGCCGCGGGUAUGAAGAAGGCCUUCGGGUUGUAAAGUACUUUCAGCGAGGAGGCGUUACUCGCAGAAGAAGCACCGGCUAACUCCGUGCCAGCCGCCGCGGUAAUUC
rnacentral:rRNA from 1 species